GACGAACGCUGGCGGCGUGCUUAACACAUGCAAGUCGAACGGAAAGGCCCUGCUUUUUUGUGGUUCUCGAGUGGCGAACGGGUGAGUAACACGUGAGUAACCUGCCCUUGACUUUGGGGUAACUUCAGGAAACUGGGGCUAAUACCGGAUAGGAGCUCCUGCUGCAUGGUGGGGGUUGGAAAGUUUCGGCGGUUGGGGAUGGACUCGCGGCUUAUCAGCUUGUUGGUGGGGUAGUGGCUUACCAAGGCUUUGACGGGUAGCCGGCCUGAGAGGGUGACCGGCCGCAUUGGGACUGAGAUACGGCCCAGACUGCUACGGGAGGCAGCAGUGGGGAAUAUUGCACAAUGGGCGGAAGCCUGAUGCAGCAACGCCGCGUGCGGGAUGACGGCCUUCGGGUUGUAAACCGCUUUCGCCUGUGACGAAGCGUGAGUGACGGUAAUGGGUAAAGAAGCACCGGCUAACUACGUG
rnacentral:rRNA from 1 species